rnacentral:rRNA from 2 species
ACGGGAGGCAGCAGUGGGGAAUAUUGGGCAAUGGGCGAAAGCCUGACCCAGCGACGCCGCGUGAGGGAAGAAGGUCUUCGGAUUGUAAACCUUAGUUAUCGGGGAAGAAGAAAGUGACGGUACCCGAAGAGAAAGCCACGGCUAACUACGUGCCAGCAGCCGCGGUAAUACGUAGGUGGCGAGCGUUAUCCGGAUUUACUGGGUGUAAAGGGUGUGUAGGCGGGACUGCAAGUCAGAUGUGAAAACUAUGGGCUCAACUCAUAGCCUGCAUUUGAAACUGUGGUUCUUGAGUGUCGGAGAGGUAAAUGGAAUUCCCGGUGUAGCGGUGAAAUGCGUAGAGAUCGGGAGGAACACCAGUGGCGAAGGCGAUUUACUGGACGACAACUGACGCUGAGACACGAAAGCGUGGGGAGCAAACAGGAUUAGAUACCCUGGUA